rnacentral:rRNA from 1 species
GACAGAGGGUGCAAACGUUGUUCGGAAUUACUGGGCGUAAGGCGUGUGUAGGCGGUCCGAUAAGUCGGGUGUGAAAGCCCUGGGCUCAACCCAGGAAGUGCACUCGAAACUGCCGGGCUAGAGUAUCGGAGAGGUUGGUGGAAUUCUCGGUGUAGAGGUGAAAUUCGUAGAUAUCGAGAGGAACACCGGUGGCGAAGGCGGCCAACUGGACGAAUACUGACGCUGAGACUCGAAAGCGUGGGGAGCAAACAGG